GGGAAAAUGAAUUUAAAGUGGGUGUUGAGUUAGGUGGUCUCUGUAUCUGCAUUCUAUCGAUACUUUAGUAAUAUUUAUUUUGUUGUCAGUAGUUGCAGAUAGAGAAAUUUCAAAGAAGAAUUUGAAGGGGUUUGCCGGAAAACUCGAGAAUGAGUGGUUCCCGGUUCAUAAAGUGUGUGACCGUCGGCGACGGAGCAUUUGGUAAAACUUGUUUACUCAUUUGAUAUAUCAGCAAUACUUUCCCAACUGUAAGUUCUUCCUUUCUCAGACCAACGAACAAUUGGGGUUUAUGAGAAAAGUUCGACUUUGUACUUCACGAAUGUGUAAGUUACCAUAAAUGAAAUUCUUAUUUUGGGUAGUGUAGUUGUAGUUCUGUACACCUUUAUUUGUUUGAUUACUGGGAAUUUAUUGAUUUUUAGGGAGCGAGAGAAUCAUUGUAGCAUAAGCCAUUUCAUAGACUAAUGUUCCUGUCUUUCUUAGUCCCGUUGAUGAUUGAAACAAGAUACUCCUUCUGUUGUAUUUUUCCGUUGUCUUUUCCGAUAGUGUUUGAAGUAGUAUAUGAUUGUGAAGUUUUCUUACGAUUAUCUCAUUGAUGUUCUUUAUUGACAGAAGGGCAGUGGCUUUGCCUAUUUGUAAUUGAAUGGAAGUUUGAGUCAUAGCUGUAUUUGGUUCUUUAUACGAGAGCCCAAGAACCUGCUCUAUGUUAUUUUUCAUGUGUCCGUAGAAUUCCUCACCGGAAAACACCUGCUUUUGUUAUUGUUUUGCGUGUGUAGGUGGAGGAGGGAGAUGAGGUGAAAGCUAUUCUACAUGUUGUUUUUUAGCAUUUGGUGUUAAUUAGUUGAAAUGUGUUUAGCUGAUGAAAAGAUGAUGCUUUGUUGAUGAUCCUGCCUCUGAACUAAAAAGUGUAGUUUCUAAGAUAGAAGCAUGAGUGUUCUCUUCAAAGUCAUAAAUGAGUGGAAAACAUUGAGCUUUAAAUAUAUGCACUUCCGUUUAGUAAGUUCAUUUGUAACAGUGGUGGUUGUGAAUCCCUCAAAUGGAACUUUCUGGUUCAUCACACUCUAAAUUUGCUUGCUUUGUUGUAAACAGGAUUAUGUCCCAACUAUGUUUGACAAAUUUAGUGCAAAUGUAGUUGUGGAAUCUUGGUUUGUGGGAUACUGCAGGUCAGGAGGAUUACAACAGAUUAAGACCCUUGAGCUAUCGUGGGGCUGAUGUUUUUAUACUAGCAUUUUCGCUCGUCAGCAAGGCCAGCCAUGAAAAUGUCUUUAAAAAGGUGUAAUCUCCUUUCUAGAAUUAGAUCUCUAACUUUCAAAUUAAUUUUGCCUGCUCACAUAAAUGGCUGUGAGGUCAAAGAAACAUGUGUUAUGGCCAUCUCCCCAUUAUCUUGAUAGCACUCCAUAGAAGACUUUGACUGGCUUAACUUUUACUUUAGUUCUUCGAUUCAGUAAAGUUGAUUAUUUGGAUCACUUUUCAUCAUCAAGGGCUGGGUAAAUGAUGCCUAUAAGAGAAAGAAGAUGAAUGAGAUGUAUGGUUCGAGAUAUUCCACAAUUUACAUGAACUAAUACAUUUUGCUCUUGCUAUUUAAUUUCAGUGGCUUCCUGAAUUGAGGCAUUAUGCCCAAGGAGUUCCAAUCAUUCUUGUUGGAACAAAGCUAGGUUAGUAUGUCCUCAAUUCAAUUAUUUGUGUCCUAUAAAUACCUCUACGUGGUUGGAAAGGUCUCUUCAUUUGUCUCCCAUUAUUGCAAGUUUCUACUUUAUUUUCAUUAGAGACAAUUUUCUUGAACGGUGGUUGCAUCUGUUAUGUUGGACAUCUUGCCUUGAAUGUAUGGAUGAGUUGUGAAAUGUCAGACAAUCCUGGCGGUGACUUUAUUCAUGAGUCCAGAAUCAUAAGAGCAAAAAUAUUGAGAGAAAUUUCCAAAAGGGCAAUAAAAAUAAGUUUGAACCAAAAUGAUAACAUUUAAACGGGAGGGAAACGAUGUUUAGUACUGCAUAUGCUGCUACACAUGACUUAUUUGAGGCAUAUGUUGCUAUAGAUGACUCAUCUUUUGCUACAAAUCAACCUUAUGUAACAACAUUUGACCAUAUAGUGGGUAUUUAAAGUUAAAAGAAAAUUGGUUGAAACAUCAUAAAAUAUAACAUCACAGAUUAAAUAAAACAUUAUCUUUAAUUUACAAACACAUUGUCAAGACACUAAGUUCUUAUCUACUAUCUCAGCAACCCAACUCCAUUGCAAUCGACCAAUUGUAUUGUCACACAAGGUGUUGAGGUUAAAUUGGUGUGUUGGUAAAUCAAAUACUCAAUAAAUGUGAACGAAUAUGACCUGCACACAGCAUCGGGUGUGAUUUUUUACCAUUGAUUCCAGUCGACCUUCAAAUUUCCAUGAUUCAUUGAGCAGCUUAUUUGUCAAAUACUUCAUUAUUCCGCUUUGCCUCAACAAGAUUGACAACAAGUCGAACAUGGGUUGUAUGAAUAUCAAAAACUUAUCAUGUUUCAAAUUCGUCAAUUUCAGAUGCACUCUCCUCUGAAUUACUGUCUACUGCUUUCCUCUUUCUUCCUCGUUGUACAAUUUUAAUGCUCUAGCUUUGGCAUUGUUAAGAACUUUUUGAAUUGCCUUAGGGACAUAUUUUUUCAUUGAUCUCAAUUCUUCCAUUGUUUGUUCAUGUUGAACUUGUUUGGAUUUUACCAUAGACCCUACAUCAAUCCCAAAACCUUGAGUUAAACCCAUUGAAAACGAGAGUAAGUUGUCAACAAAAUUGACAUGCAAUGGAAUAGCUCUGGUAAUCCUCAUAAAUGAAUAUGAUUCAUUCAUUCUGAUUUUGAAAAAAUUGUAAUCUAAUAAGAACACUCGAUUAUUUCACCAAAAAAACAUGAAAAAAAGUAAGAAACACAAUACAUUACAAUUGUUGAAUAAGGAAAAAAAUUGUACACGACUAAAUUUUAGGAUUACCUGCGAAAGUUGAAUUCAAUUUCAGGAGGGAUAAAUUGAAUUUUUGCCAAUUUGAAAUUCAAAAUCGAAUAGAAGUAUUGAUUAUAGGAGAAAAAGGUGGAAUAUGAAUAUGAGAGAUAAUAUUAAUUUGUAUAAAAUUAAAUACAAAAUUGAAUAA
rnacentral:lncRNA from 1 species